rnacentral:misc_RNA from 1 species
AGUCGUAACAAGGUCUCCGUUGGUGAACCAGCGGAGGGAUCAUUACCGAGUUUACAACUCCCAAACCCAAUGUGAACCAUACCAAACUGUUGCCUCGGCGGGGUCACGCCCCGGGUGCGUCGCAGCCCCGGAACCAGGCGCCCGCCGGAGGGACCAACCAAACUCUUUACUGUAGUCCCCUCGCGGACGUUAUUUCUUACAGCUCUGAGCAAAAAUUCAAAAUGAAUCAAAACUUUCAACAACGGAUCUCUUGGUUCUGGCAUCGAUGAAGAACGCAGCGAAAUGCGAUAAGUAAUGUGAAUUGCAGAAUUCAGUGAAUCAUCGAAUCUUUGAACGCACAUUGCGCCCGCCAGUAUUCUGGCGGGCAUGCCUGUCCGAGCGUCAUUUCAACCCUCGAACCCCUCCGGGGGGUCGGCGUUGGGGAUCGGGAACCCCUCAGACGGGAUCCCGGCCCCGAAAUACAGUGGCGGUCUCGCCGCAGCCUCUCCUGCGCAGUAGUUUGCACAACUCGCACCGGGAGCGCGGCGCGUCCACGUCCGUAAAACACCCAACUUCUGAAAUGUUGACCUCGGAUCAGGUAGGAAUACCCGCUGAACUUAAGCAUAUCAAUAAGCGGAGGA